rnacentral:rRNA from 1 species
GGCAGACAGACGGCGGGUGCUAAGGUCCGUCGUCAAAAGGGAAACAGCCCUGACCUACAGCUAAGGUCCCCAAGUCACGUCUAAGUGGUAAAGCAUGUGGGAAUCCCAAAACAACCAGGAGGUUGGCUUAGAAGCAGCCAUCCUUUAAAGAAAGCGUAACAGCUCACUGGUCUAAAUAAGGGUUCCUGCGGCGAAAAUGUAACGGGGCUCAAGACGUGCACCGAAGCUUAGGGUGUGUAGCAAUACACGCGGUAGCGGAGCGUUCCGUAGGCUGAUGAAGCGAUCUGGCAAUGGGUCGUGGAGGUAUCGGAAGUGCGAAUGCUGACAUGAGUAGCGAUAAAGAGGGUGAGAUGCCCUCUCGCCGAAAUCCCAAGGGUUCCUGCUUAAAGCUAAUCUGAGCAGGGUAAGCCGGCCCCUAAGACGAGCCCGAAGGGGGUAGUCGAUGGGAACCACGUUAAUAUUCGUGGGCCUGGAGGUGUGUGACGGAUCUCGUAAAUUGUCUGACCUUAUUGGAUUGGUCAGGCUUUGAAGAGGUUCCAGGAAAUAGCCCCUCCAUUAUAGACCGUACCCUAAACCGACACAGGUGGGAUGGUAGAGUAUACCAAGGCGCUUGAGAGAAGUCUCCUGAAGGAACUCGGCAAAUUGCCUCCGUACCUUCGGAAGAAGGAGGCCCUCAUUCCGGGCAACCGGUUUGAGGGGGCACAGGCCAGGGGGUAGCGACUGUUUAGCAAAAACACAGGGCUCUGCUAAGUCGGCUUCAAGACGACGUAUAGGGCCUGACGCCUGCCCGGUGCCUGAAGGUUAAGUGGAGUGGUGCAAGCUGCGAAAUGAAGCCCAGGUAAACGGCGGCCGUAACUAUAACGGUCCUAAGGUAGCGAAAUUCCUUGUCGGGUAAGUUCCGACCUGCACGAAUGGCGUAACGACUUCCCCACUGUCUCCAGGAGAUGCUCAGCGAAAUUGAAUUCUCCGUGAAGAUGCGGAGUACCCGCGGUUAGACGGAAAGACCCCGUGCACCUUUACUGCAGCUUCAGAGUGGCAUUAGGAAAGAACUGUGUAGCAUAGGUGGGAGGCUUUGAAGCACUGGCGCCAGCCGGUGUGGAGCCAUAGGUGAAAUACCACCCUGUUGUUUUCUGAUGUCUAACCUCGAUCCAUGAAACUGGAUCAGGGACCCUCUGUGGCGGGUAGUUUGACUGGGGCGGUCGCCUCCUAAAGAGUAACGGAGGCGCGCGAUGGUAGGCUCAGGACGGUUGGAAACCGUCUGUUAGAGUGCAAUGGCAUAAGCCUGCCUGACUGCGAGACUGACGAGUCGAGCAGAGACGAAAGUCGGUCAUAGUGAUCCGGUGGUCCCGAGUGGAAGGGCCAUCGCUCAACGGAUAAAAGGUACGCCGGGGAUAACAGGCUGAUGAUUCCCAAGAGCUCAUAUCGACGGAAUCGUUUGGCACCUCGAUGUCGGCUCAUCACAUCCUGGGGCUGGAGCAGGUCCCAAGGGUUUGGCUGUUCGCCAAUUAAAGUGGUACGUGAGCUGGGUUCAGAACGUCGCGAGACAGUUUGGUCCCUAUCUGCCGUGGGCGUCGAUACUUGAAAGGAGUUGCCCCUAGUACGAGAGGACCGGGGUGAACAUACCUCUGGUGUACCUGUCAUCCUGCCAAGGGUGCCGCAGGGUAGCUAUGUAUGGACGGGAUAACCGCUGAAAGCAUCUAAGCGGGAAGCCUCCCUUAAGAUAAGGUAUCUUCGAACCGUCAUAGACCAUGACGUUGAUAGGCCGGGUGUGGAAGCGCAGUAAUGCGUGGAGCUAACCGGUCCUAAUAGUUCUUUUCGCGCUUGU